CCUACGGGUGGCUGCAGUGGGGAAUAUUGGACAAUGGGGGAAACCCUGAUCCAGCGAUGCCGCGUGAGUGACGAAGGCCUUCGGGUUGUAAAACUCUUUCACCUGUGAAGAUUAUGACGGUAGCAGGAGAAGAAGCACCGGCAAACUCUGUGCCAGCAGCCGCGGUAAUACAGAGGGUGCUAGCGUUGUUCGGAAUGACUGGGCGUAAAGGGCGCGUAGGCGGCCAUAUUAGUCGGGCGUGAAAUCCCUGGGCUUAACCCAGGAACUGCGUUCGA
rnacentral:rRNA from 1 species